AGGUUGGGCACAUCAGUAGCUAAGAGACUCCUCUGACCAUGGCCAGCCUCAGGAAGUGAGUGUCAACAGCCUUGCAGAUGGGAACUCAACUCCUGGGUACCCAUGCCUGAAAAGACAAUUUCGCUCUUGAUGCCCAGGCUGGAGUGUAAUGGCAUGAUCUCAGCUCACUGCAACCUCCGCCUCCCAGAUUCAAGCAAUUCUUCUGCCUCAGCCUCCCAAGCUGGGAUUACAGGCAUGUGUCACCAUGCACCUCUUGCACCUGGUCUCCAUCUCAGAGUCUGAUGCCCAGGAAACCUGAUCUGUGGCAGUGUGGGGAUUCGUCCAAGAAUGAAGACUGUUUGUAAAUUGAGAUAUGAGGGUGGAAUCAUCCACUGGCCAGCCAGCUGUGAGGACCUGCCGCUGGUGGUUGGGGGUGCACAAAUGGCCUCAGGCCCGCUGUACUGCUGCAACUAUUAAAACUCCACCAUGGUAUACAUGGAAGGAUGGCUGGUAGAAUAGGACUUACUGGCAAGUAGUGUAUCAGGCAUUUGAGAGAUACAGGGCAAUAGUCAUUAUAAAGACAAUAGAACUAGAUAGUUGUUGUUAGGAAAUAAUCUAUUCUUUGGGGCAAGACAGUAAAAGGCUGAGGGUAAUUAAUCACCUCUUACAGGCUAAGUCAGAAUUCCAGAGGACAUCCUCAGAAGCAUAAAAAGAUACCCUCAUCUCCUAUCAUUGGAGUGCAGAAAAACCUGAGGAAUGAAUUUAGGAUUUAAUUACGGAAGCACAGAGUUUCAGAGAAGGUUGAGUUCUGAGUUCCACAGACUAGCUCUGCCAAGGUCAGAGCCCUAAUUAUGAAGGAAUGGAACUGCAAUACAUGGGAUGUGGACAACUGAUGUAGGAUUUUUUCUUCUUGGUCACUUUGCAAGCCUGGGACCUCCAGCCAGUGAUGUCCGCCCAGGGCUUGCUUGGCUAUGCUGGUGUGCCUCAGCUUGUCUGUGUUAUAGCUUGUACCCACAUUUGGUGAUUCUCAAGCUCUUGUACCACACCCAAGAAGACUGAGGAUAUGCUGCACAUUGAAGGGUGAGGAGGGCAGAGAAGAAUUUUACUGAGCGACGGAACAGCUCUCAGUGGAGAGGGGACACGGGGGAUGGUCCCUCACCCCCACAGUCAGGUGGUUCUCUCCUCCUUGCGUAGGUGGGUCUGGGGAUUUUUAUGGACUCAGAAUAGGGGAGAGGCAGGCCAUAGGUAGUAUUGGAAAAGGCAACAUUCAAUUGGUUAAAAAGUAUUAUUCAGAAAGAAUCAAUAGGGAAAGGGUGAGCAAACAGGAACAGAAGUUCUCAUUCUGGGUCACGGGUUUCAUCUGGGAACAGCAAUCUAGUUUUUCAGCCUUCAAGCUGUUUUUGACUUGAAGGUGGGGUUUCACCAGGGACCCACCCCUAUCUGCCUCAGCAUUUGGCUGACUCCUAUCGCUAUCAAAACUGUGUUAAUGUAUUAGAAACUCUUGAAUCCCCAGAUUCUCCUAUAUCCUCUGGGUCUGCAGAAGCAACCCAGUCCUUCCUGUUAAAAGAUGGUACUCUGAUGUCCACCACCACCCCCAAGGAACACCCCUUGGUUUAAGCCAAUGCAAAGUCCUUUGCCUUGCCAGACAGCAUGCACACUCCUCAAGGAUAUGUUCUCAACUCCCCUCCUGACCAAUAAUCAGAAAUAUGUCACAACGUAACCCAACUGUGCUGGGCCUGCUAAGAGAGGAAAGGGAUUAUAGCCAGCAGGAGCCACCGGACAUAUAUGCAUAUGCAUACAUGCCAAUAUGCGCUGGCAGGAGCUGGGAGAAUACAUAAAUGACUAGAUUCUAAGGGUACUGGAUCAAGGGGCAUGGGACAUAAAGUUGGUUAGGGGACAGUUUAUCAAUAUGGCAGCACUGUUCUGCAAUACAGAUUUAAUACCCUAUUUAAGGAGGUGAAGCUAACAUGUUUCUAGGAUGGCCCUUAGAAGCUUGGACAAAGUGAAGUAGAAGUGCCAGAAUUGCUGUGGCAGAUGGUGGAAGAGGGAUAGAAACCUUGAGAAGUAGGCCUACUACAGUGGAUAUAAUUAGCAAAACUGGGAAACUCACUCUAUGACUAUGUUUGGUGGGAAGCCCUGGAGGACACACUGUUGAUAAAAUCAAUAAGAAAUGCACUGACAAGAAGGCACCAGAAUCUCUGAGAAGCUUAGUGGUUGGUGAUAGUCUUCUGCAAGGUGGGAGAUCCUGUUGCAGAACUGGGCUCUCUGAUAGUAGAAGGAAAUGACAGAAUUCCAAAAUAAUAGAGUCAGGUGACACUUAAAUACCAGAAGAAAAGUGGGUGCAAUUAUUGUCAUGAAAAGCAAAGCUGAAGUGGAAGCCCAGGAGGCCUGACCUGAGAGCUAUUGAAGCAGCAACUAGAACGUGAUGUCCCUGGAGGUAAGACAAACAGACAGUCAACAGGGUCUUGCCCAAUCUAUACAAGCAAAAGAAAUCAAGAGUAGAUGAUUAGGAGACUAAAAGUAGCCACCACAGUAAAAACUUAAAAUCUCUUUUUUAGUUUCCAGACCUGAGCCAGUUUUCUGACCUAGCACCCAUUGAUUGAAGGAGAAUCUAAAUCCCUGGGAAGGCCUUGUAAAACCAUAGCAAGUAUAAAUGGCAAUGAUUCCCCUAGUCUUCCCCCCAAAAUACUAAGAACUAUUUACUUAGGUAAUUAUGUACUGGGAAAGCGUGGUACCCAUAUAGUUUGAGGACACAGAGCCCAAGUUAAUAUUGGUACCUGGAAACCUAAGACAUUAGGAGAGCCAUCUAUUAGAGGAGGGGUGAAUGGGCACCAGGUAAUAAAUGGUCGAGGCCUAGGUCGAGCUCACACUUGGUCCCCUGGGGUCCACAGACUCACCCAGUGAUCAUGGUCCUAAUCCCCAAAUGUGUAAUUUGAAAUGGACGUACUUGAGAGUUGGCAGAAACCUUACAUUGGUUCAUUGGCCUGCAGAAUGAGAAGUAUCACAGUAGAGAAGGCUCAGUGCAAACCUUGAACUAUCCCUCUAGCCCAUGCAAGAUAAGGCAGAACAGGAACCCCUUUUAGGAGCCUGUACCCUUCUUCCCCUGAGCAUGAAAAUAAAGGAAAAUCUUCCUUCAAAGGAAAUUUGAGGCAACUAGCUAGCCUAAAUAAGGGAAAAACUUAAUAAGCAAGAAGGUAAUAGUAACUUAAAACAAUAGCCAAGGAAGCUAGAGUCAGCAGAUGUUUUGUUUCCUAUAGAAACUAAAGGUAACAUCCUAACAUAUGUCACUGAGUUGUUUUUCAAAAACCCGGAUCCCCACCAAAUGGAUCCAUUGGCACUUAGGCCCAGAUAAGGAGGAAAUGAAGACUGAACCCUGACCGCUGUUCUUUGUUCUAAAUUUCUUCCUAAGGGGCCUGGAGGAGGUCACACCCACGAGCCAGAGCUGACGUUCUUUUUUAGAGACAAAACUUUGCCUCCUUAACCAAUUGCAAAUGAGAAAAUCUUUGAGUCUACCACCAACCUAUGGGCUCCUGCUUUGAGAUAGCCCACUUUUUUAGGUCAAACCAAUGUAUAGCCUCCGUGUUUUGCUUUAUGACUUUGCCUGUAACCUCUGCCUCUUCACCUUUAGAAACUGUUACCCGUAAGUCAUCUGGGAGUUCCGGUCUUAAGCAUGAGCUGCCCGAUUCUUCUUGCUUGGUGCCCUGCAAUAAAUGCCUCACUUUCUCUUGAUGCUA